AGCAUGGAUAAAAGAAAGAGACUGGAUUGGCCUUGUGGGCGGGCCACGCGCGCCGAGGGUGCGAACGAACGUGCAUACCGCUGUCGUAACGCUCAAAUGUUCAUACUUACCGGCUAGCAAUCGCUGUCAUGUUUUGACAGCGUACGUAUCUCCGCAAAAAAUAUUAUAUUAUGCCGUCUUGCGCUAUUAUAACGUGUCGGAAAAGAAGCCAGGUGCGUAGCAUAGCACGAGAAGGAAUUUCUUUUCACCGGUUUCCAACAGAUCCAGGUGUAAGAAAAUUGUGGAUUGACACAACUGGUAGAAUUAAUUGGAUUCCUACUAAAUGUAGCAUAUUUCGUUAUAAAUAUAACUAUAACCAUGUUAUUUCAAUGUGUUCUGUACUUUAUACAAAUUUAUUGUAAAUGUGAGAGCCCUGUAAUUAGCUAAAAUGACAAUGCCAGAAUCUCUAUAGAGCUUUGCCCCACCAAAAAAUAUAUUGUACAGGCAUGCCAAAUGUAGCAUUCAAUUGCUGCUCUAUUAGUGAUAACUAAAAACAUGAUUAAAAGCCUUUAGAGCUUGCGGUUUCUAUAUAAAUCUAAGAACAAAAUAUUACAUUUAGGUUAAGUACCAGUUUAGAUUAAUUGCAGUUAUAAUGGUAGAAAUAAUUAAAUUAAGUGCUUUAUAUUAUUACAAUGCUAUCAUAGGGGGUUUAGCUA